ensembl:snoRNA
GGGCUGAUGAAGGCUGGCACCUGGGCCCCCUCCCCAACUCUGCUCUGCUCCUGAAG